rnacentral:rRNA from 1 species
UACGGGGGGAGCAAGCGUUGUUCGGAUUUACUGGGCGUAAAGGGCGCGUAGGCGGUCAGCACAAGUCAGUUGUGAAAUCUCCGGGCUUAACUCGGAACGGUCAGAUGAUACUGCUUUGCUAGAGUGCGGAAGGGGCAAUCGGAAUUCUUGGUGUAGCGGUGAAAUGCGUAGAUAUCAAGAGGAACACCUGAGGUGAAGACGGGUUGCUGGGCCGACACUGACGCUGACAGCGCGAAAGCCAGGGGAGCAAACGGG